AAAAAAAUACCCGUGGUUCCGGUUUCAUAUCGUGAAAAAAUUAGGGUCGGUAGGUCGGAAAUAAUUUUUUUUUUAAAUAUUUUUUUCAUGGUUUUGGCGGUUUUUUGCUGGGCGAUUUGCAGUAGAGUCCCGACAUCAAUAUUAAGAGAUGCGUAUUUCCUAUGGACGAAUUUAGGCAAUUUGGUUCAAUAAUUAGUGUGACAACAGACGCCAUUUUGGCACGCUGUAUGAGCAGCCCGCAACCACCUGGAGAAAAU